rnacentral:lncRNA from 1 species
CAAUGAUGUAUGUCGAAUUUGCAAAAAUGAACUCCACUCCGCACAACACUCGGCCAGACUUCGACUGCGACUUCAACUGCAGAUUCAACGUGGCGAAGGCCAGAAGUAAAACGCGGGCAACCGCGAAAUUGGCCAAGUAACAUGGAAAACGUACGAAAAGGAAAAUGCACACCAACUGCAGACUGAGAUGAGUGGCUGGUAAGGGGCGUAGGGUGUAAUCUCGG